UACGGAGGAUCCAAGCGUUAUCCGGAUUUAUUGGGUUUAAAGGGUGCGUAGGCGGUCCUAUAAGUCAGUGGUGAAAGACGGCAGCUUAACUGUCGCAGUGCCUUUGAUACUGUAGGACUUGAAUCUAUUUGAAGUGGGCGGAAUAAGACAAGUAGCGGUGAAAUGCAUAGAUAUGUCUUAGAACUCCGAUUGCGAAGGCAGCUCACUAAGUUAGUAUUGACGCUGAUGCACGAAAGCGUGGGGAUCAAACAGGAUUAGAUACCCGGGUAGUCC
rnacentral:rRNA from 1 species